rnacentral:lncRNA from 1 species
GCCCAUUUGAAUUCACGAGAAGAAACUUCUCGUGAAUUUUCUCUCACGCAAAGCCCUUCCCACGCCCACUCUUGUGCGUCAAUCUUUGGAUAAAAUUGAUUAGUUAGCCAUUCAGAUUCAAAGCGUGUUUGAAUUUGAAUGGAUAACUUAUCCCUUGCGCCUUCAUGCUUAUCCAUCUUGUGCGCCACUUAUCUUACACGAGAAAGAGUUUCUC